UACGUAGGGUGCAAGCGUUGUCCGGAAUUACUGGGUGUAAAGGGAGCGCAGGCGGAUUGUCAAGUUGGGAGUGAAACGUACGGGCUCAACCCGUAACCUGCUUUCAAAACUGGCAGUCUUGAGUGGUGUAGAGGUAGGCGGAAUUCCCGGUGUAGCGGUGGAAUGCGUAGAUAUCGGGAGGAACACCAGUGGCGAAGGCGGCCUACUGGGCACUAACUGACGCUGAGGCUCGAAAGCAUGGGUAUCGAACAGG
rnacentral:rRNA from 1 species